rnacentral:rRNA from 1 species
GACGAACGCUGGCGGCGUGCUUAACACAUGCAAGUCGAGCGGUAAGGCCCUUUCGGGGGUACACGAGCGGCGAACGGGUGAGUAACACGUGGGUGACCUGCCCUCAGCUCUGGGAUAAGCCUGGGAAACCGGGUCUAAUACCGGAUAUGACUCCAUGACGCAUGUUGUGGGGUGGAAAGCCUUGUGCGGCUGAGGAUGGGCCCGCGGCCUAUCAGCUUGUUGGUGGGGUGAUGGCCUACCAAGGCGACGACGGGUAGCCGGCCUGAGAGGGCGACCGGCCACACUGGGACUGAGACACGGCCCAGACUCCUACGGGAGGCAGCAGUGGGGAACCUUGCGCAAUGGGCGAAAGCCUGACGCAGCGACGCCGCGUGAGGGAUGAC